rnacentral:lncRNA from 1 species
AAUCAAACGGUGCAAAGGAGAGAUAUUGGCUCUGAAAUUGGCAUCAAGAUUGGAGAAGGAGGUCGGCCAAUACCCAAGCACAUUUUUGAGGUUUUCCUCAAUUUGGUAACUCAAAUCCUUUUUAAUUUUUUGAGUUAAGAUCAAUGGUUUUUUCAUUAGUUAUUGAAGUUUAAAUCUAUUAUAGGAAUUAUUAGGGUUUAGUUUAGAGUUUGGUUAGGGUUUGGUUUGGGAUUUAAGAUUUGGAUUAGGAUUUGAUUUAGGGUUUAGGAUUUGGUUAGGAUUUGAUUUAGGAUUUAGAGUUUGGAUUAGGAUUUGAUUUACAAUUUGGUUAAGAUUUUAUUUAGGAUUUAAGAUUUGGUUAGGGUUUGGUUUAGGGUUUGAUUUGGGGUCUAGGAUUUGGAUUAGGAUUUGAUUUAGGAUUUAGGAUUUUAUUAAGAUUUGAUUUAGGAUUUAGGAUUUGGAUUAGGGUUUGGUAUAGGGUUUGGUUAGGAUUUUAUUUAGAGUUUAGAAUUUGAAUUAGAAUUUGAUUUAGGAUUUAGGAUUUGGUUAGGAUUUGGUUGAGGAUUUAGGAUUUGAAUUAGGAUUUAGUUUAAGAUUUAGGAUUUGGAUGAGGAUUUGAUUAGAGUUUGAUUUAGUGUUUAUGAUUUGAUUUAGGAUUUGGUUAGGAUUUGAUUUAGGAUUUGGUUGGGGUUUGGUUUAAGGUUUGUUUUGGAUUUAGGAUUUUAUUAGGAUUUAAGAUUCAAUUAGUUUUGGCCUAAAGUUUGAAUGAAGUUCAAUAAGAUUUUAACUAGAAUUAAAUUAAGAUUGAAUUGAGAUAUAUUUGAGUGAUAUUUGUGAUCCUUCUAAUAUUUCUUUAAGAAUUCUUAUUAUUUGUUUGAAAUUUCUUUAAGGCUUUUUUGAAUUGGAUUAAGCUUGCUUACCAUUAUUAUGGUCUAAUUAGAGCAUUUUUAGUAUUCUAUUAGAAUUAGGAUUUUGUUAUUACAAUUUCCAUUCUUCCUUCCACAACCAGGUGCCCGGAGCAUUCUCAAGCAAGACUUCACGUAUUACGACAAUGGUUCCUAUUGUAGCUGAAUGCCUUCAUUUUC